AUGUAUAACAUUAAUCCUGGUAUACAAUGUAUGAUGAGUUUAUUUGUUAUCCGACCGAAGACGAAUCAUAGUGACAUACAGUCAACGCAUUCAACAUUGCGCUCACUUCUUGCAAUGUCUUUAAUAAGAAUACAGACACACUCAGUAAAAGAGAUGAUAAAGAUAUCGAAGGGUUAUUCAAAUUCAUCUGUUGUUUGGUGGUUGUCGUUUGUUGGUGUGGUUCAUUAGUUUUUCACUUUUUUAUAUAGAUUAAACCAUUUGCUUCCGGUUUGCAUGGUUUUACACUAGUCUUUUUUUUUGGGGGGGGGGGGGGGGCUUUAUAGCUUGCUGUUCGAUGAGUAUCAAAACCCUGUGUUGAAUGCCGUACUUUGACCUUACUGCUAUAUGUUUACAAAUUGUGG
rnacentral:lncRNA from 1 species